CGCCUGCAUCUUUACAGCUU
rnacentral:miRNA from 1 species